rnacentral:rRNA from 1 species
CGUAGGGUGCGAGCGUUAAUCGGAAUUACUGGGCGUAAAGCGUGCGCAGGCGGUUUAGUAAGACAGGCGUGAAAUCCCCGGGCUCAACCUGGGAACUGCGCUUGUGACUGCUAAGCUAGAGUACGGCAGAGGGGGGUGGAAUUCCACGUGUAGCAGUGAAAUGCGUAGAGAUGUGGAGGAACACCAAUGGCGAAGGCAGCCCCCUGGGUCGAUACUGACGCUCAUGCACGAAAGCGUGGGUAGCAAACAGGAUUAGAUACCCUGGUAGUCCACGCCCUAAACGAUGUCAACUAGGUGUUGGGAGGGUAAAACCUUUUAGUACCGGAGCUAACGCGUGAAGUUGACCGCCUGGGGAAUACGGCCGCAAGGUU